ACAAAUACUAGCCCAUACCACACACAAUACAACUACCACCUUCCCCCCCAACAAAACAUUUACUAAAUAAAAGUAUAGGAGAUAGAAAUUCUAAUAGGCGCUAUAGAGAUAGUACCGCAAGGGAAAGAUGAAAGACAAAUUAAAAGUGAAAAGCAGCAAAGCUUACCCCUUGUACCUUUUGCAUAAUGAUUUAACCAGAAUAUCUUGACAAAGAGAACUUAAGCCAAAAACCCCGAAACCAGACGAGCUACCCAAGAGCAGCCAUAGAGCAAACUCAUCUAUGUGGCAAAAUAGUGAGAAGACUUAUGGGUAGUGGUGAAAAGCCUACCGAGCCUGGUGAUAGCUGGUUGUCCAAAAUAGAAUUUUAGUUCAACUUUAAGUCAUACCUAAAAAGCACACAAAUUAAAUGUAGACUUAAAAUAUAAUCUAAAAGGGUACAGCCUUUUAGAAUCAGGAUACAACCUUAAUUAGAGAGUAAGCUCAAAAAAUCCACACAGUAGGCCUAAAAGCAGCCACCAGUUGAGAAAGCGUUAAAGCUCAAACUCCCCUAAAACCCUAAUCCAUAAAAUAAUCAGCAAACCCCUAAUCUAAUAUUGGACCACUCUAUUUAUUAUAUAGAAGAGACACUGUUAAUAUGAGUAACAAGAACUAGUUUCUCCCUGCACAAGCUUAUAUCAGAACGAAUGCCCACUGAUAGUUAACAACAAAAUAAGUUCAACCCAACAACUAAAACACUUAUUUAUUCAACUGUUAAUCCAACACAGGAGUGCACCAAAGGAAAGAUUAAAAGAAGUAAAAGGAACUCGGCAAACACAAACCCCGCCUGUUUACCAAAAACAUCACCUCUAGCAUAACCACUAUUAGAGGCACUGCCUGCCCAGUGACAUAAGUUAAACGGCCGCGGUACCCUGACCGUGCAAAGGUAGCAUAAUCAUUUGUUCUCUAAAUAAGGACUUGUAUGAACGGCCACACGAGGGUUUAACUGUCUCUUACUUCCAAUCAGUGAAAUUGACCUUCCCGUGAAGAGGCGGGAAUAUACAAAUAAGACGAGAAGACCCUAUGGAGCUUUAAUUAACUAACCCAUAAAUAAAACAUCAAAACUCUAAGGAAACUAAACUAAUUAUUUACUGGAUUAGCAAUUUAGGUUGGGGUGACCUCGGAAUACAAAAAAACUUCCGAGUGAUUUUAGCCAAGACUAACAAGUCAAAGCUCAAUAUCUUCAAUGAUCCAAUACAAUUGAUCAACGGAACAAGUUACCCUAGGGAUAACAGCGCAAUCCUAUUUGAGAGUCCAUAUCGAUAAUAGGGUUUACGACCUCGAUGUUGGAUCAGGACAUCCAAAUGGUGCAGCCGCUAUUAAUGGUUCGUUUGUUCAACGAUUAAAGUCCUACGUGAUCUGAGUUCAGACCGGAGUAAUCCAGGUCGGUUUCUAUCUAUUUUGCGUUCCUCCCAGUACGAAAGGAUAAGAGAAACAAGGCCAACUUGAUACAAGCGCCUUAAAAUUAAUAGAUGACACAAUAUCAAUCUAAUAACUAGCAACUCACCCAAUCCAAGAGCAGGAUUAUU
rnacentral:rRNA from 1 species